rnacentral:lncRNA from 1 species
UUUGGAUAACAAAGGGUUUUGAACUCGGUAGUCAUGUUGUGUGAUUUUUCUUUCUCUUUUUCUCGUGCAUCACGUAUACUCUGGGGAUUAAUUUCACUCUUUUGACUCUUUUUCUACUCACAUUUUUCGAGCAUUUUAUAUGUGUUAGAGUCUUAAGUCUCGGCAAGUGCAUUUUUCUCUUUUGUUUUUCUUUUCUCUUUUUUUUUCUUCUUUUUUUUCUUUUACAGCACAUACAUACUCUUUAUCUUUUUGUAUGAUCUCUUAUUAUGCACUUGCCUUCUCUUUCAAGAUUUCCACCCCAAACUUAGUUUUAUUGCACAUCUUACAAUUCACACAAUCAUACCGAGUUAUGAAACAAAAGGAAAUGAAUGAUUAAAAGUUAACAGGGGGUUUAUGAUGAAUAAAAUGGUUAAGGCUCAACGGGGUUUACGAAGGGAAACAUACAUAUAGGGAUGGUUAGAAAGGCCCUGGCUAAACAAACAACUUGCUCAGUGUGUUUUGUCAUGCUGUGACGUGUCAACAGGACAUACGUAAAAUCAGAGUGAUAAAGUCAUACCUGGCUGAACUCUCAUGUUGAUAUUUCGUGUUUGGCUUUUUGUGAUCUCACCAUGUUGGUUAGCUUGCAAGCUCUGAAG